CAUAAAGGGACUCCCUAUUACCUAGCAGAACAGCCGACGAAGCAAGGAUCCUUUUCACUCCACCACAAUUAUUGCAAUGGGGUCAACUUUCUCCUCUUCGGUUAACCCGCAGACGAGUCAAUCGUGUCCACCCCCCGAUUCUGAAAGGGAAACCCUGCCACCAUAUACCGCGGCGCGGCUGCCCCCAUACAGUCUACUUCCUCCAUCGCGCAGGUCCAUUUCACGGCGGAACACGUCCGCAGCGACAAAUACCCGAGGCCCGCCACGUUUAUCAAAGAGAAAACUGCUAGACGCCUUCCGCAUCAUUGCUGACUACCUUUCCCAGAGAAACGUGAAUAUCACCAUAAUAGCUUCCACGGAUGUUGUGGAUAUUGUCCAUC
rnacentral:sRNA from 1 species